CCUACGGGAGGCUGCAGUAGGGAAUAUUGCUCAAUGGGGGAAACCCUGAAGCAGCAACGCCGCGUGGAGGAUGAAGGUUUUAGGAUUGUAAACUCCUUUUGUUAGAGAAGAUUAUGACGGUAUCUAACGAAUAAGCACCGGCUAACUCCGUGCCAGCAGCCGCGGUAAUACGGAGGGUGCAAGCGUUACUCGGAAUCACUGGGCGUAAAGAGUGCGUAGGCGGGGUAAUAAGUCAGAUGUGAAAUGCUGUAGCUUAACUACAGAACUGCAUUUGAAACUGUUACUCUGGAGUGUGGGAGAGGUAGGUGGAAUUCUUGGUGUAGGGGUAAAAUGCGUAGAGAUCAAGAGGAAUACUCAUUGCGAAGGCGACCUGCUGGAACAUUACUGACGCUGAUGCACGAAAGCGUGGGGAGCAAACAGGAUUAGAUACCCGGGUAGUC
rnacentral:rRNA from 1 species